rnacentral:rRNA from 1 species
GAUGAACGCUGGCGGCGUGCCUAAUACAUGCAAGUCGAGCGAACAGACGAGGAGCUUGCUCCUCUGACGUUAGCGGCGGACGGGUGAGUAACACGUGGAUAACCUACCUAUAAGACUGGGAUAACUUCGGGAAACCGGAGCUAAUACCGGAUAAUAUAUUGAACCGCAUGGUUCAAUAGUGAAAGACGGUUUUGCUGUCACUUAUAGAUGGAUCCGCGCCGCAUUAGCUAGUUGGUAAGGUAACGGCUUACCAAGGCAACGAUGCGUAGCCGACCUGAGAGGGGUGUGGGCCAAACGCGAACCAGAACAGGGCCCAGACCCCUACGGGAGGCAGAAGGGGGGAAUCUGCCGCAAGGGGUGAAAGCCGGGCGGAAGACCGACGGGGGGGUGACGAAGGUCUUAGGAUGGUAAACGUCUUUUAAACGGGAAAAAAAAAGGUGAAAGUACCUUGGAACGUUAUGACGGUACCUAAUCAAAAAGCCGCGGCUAACCCGGU